UACGAAGGGGGCUAGCGUUGCUCGGAAUCACUGGGCGUAAAGCGCACGUAGGCGGACUCUUAAGUCGGUGGUGAAAUCCUGGAGCUCAACUCCAGAACUGCCUUCGAUACUGAGAGUCUCGAGUCCGAGAGAGGUGAGUGGAACUGCGAGUGUAGAGGUGAAAUUCGUAGAUAUUCGCAAGAACACCAGUGGCGAAGGCGGCUCACUGGCUCGGUACUGACGCUGAGGUGCGAAAGCGUGGGGGAGCAAACAGG
rnacentral:rRNA from 1 species